UUUCGGAGUUUAACUCUGAAGUAGUUUAUGUUUUCACUAGUAGCUUGAAGUUAGGCUAAAGAAAAAUCGGAGGAAUGUGUGUUCUACUUAUUUCGAUUGAGUGGAGGAAUGGAGUAUUUGGUGUUGUAAUCGUGACUAGCUUGAGCGAUCAAACAUGCGUUACGGAAAAGAACAGACAAAACGAAAUGCUGAAGUUAAAAAAAUGUUGAAAGUUUGGUUUCUUAUAUGAUGGGAACGUGAACUUUGAAAUAAUAGUGACUGGAAAGUAUGCUUGUAAAGAAGAGAUGGAGAUGGGUGUUUUACUUGUUCUGGUUGAGUGGAGAAAUGAAGUACCUGGUAUGUUUUGUAAUCAUGACUAGCUUGAGCAAUGAAAUAGGCACUGCGAAAAAUUUCAGGACGUUAUACCCAAGUUUAAAAAUGCAGAAGUGGUAUAUAUUUUGAGUAGUAGCAAGAAGUCAUGCUAAAGAAAAAUAGCACGAGUUUGUUUUCUACUUAUAUCGAUUGAGUGGAGGAGUGGAGUACUUGGUAUUGUAAUCAUGACUAGCUUGAGCGAUAUAACAUGCAUUACAGAAAAGAAUGGAGAAACGUUAUGUUGCAGUUAAAACAUGUGGAGUGUACAGUCUUUGAAAAGUCAUAUUAUAGAUGUUCAACUUAUUCUGGAUGAGUGGAGAAAUGAAGUACCUGGUAUGGUCUUGUAAUCAUAACUCUUUUGAGCAAUGAAAUACGCACUGCGAAAAAGUUGAGAACGUUAUACCAAAGUAUAAAGAUGCGGAAGGUGUGGUUUCGGAGUUUAACUCUGAAGUAGUUUAUGUUUUCACUAGUAGCUUGAAGUUAGGCUAAAGAAAAAUCGGAGGAAUGUGUGUUCUACUUAUUUCGAUUGAGUGGAGGAAUGAGUACUUUGAUAUGUAAUCGUGACUAGCUUGAGCGAUCAAACGCGUUACGGAAAAAAACAGACGAAAUGAAAUGCUGAAGUUAAAAAAAUGUUGAAAGUAUGGUUUCUUAUAUGAUGGGAAGGUGAACUUUGAAAUAAUAGUGACUGGAAGUUAUGCUUUCAAAGAAGAGAUGGUGAUGGGUGUUUUACUUGUUCUGGUUAAGUGGAGAAAUGGAGUACCUGGUAUGGUGUUGUAAUCAUGACUCUCUUGAGCAAUGAAAUCUGCACUGUGAAAAAGUUCAGAACGUUAUACUAAAGUAUAAAGAUGUAGAAAUGGUAUAUGGUUAGUAUAGUAGCCAAAAGUCAUGCUAUGAGCGAUAUAACGUGUAUUACGCAAAAUAACUGACAAACGAAGUGGUGUUUUAAAUGAUAGUAACUAGACGCUAUGCUUACAAAGAAGUGAUGGUGAAUGGUGUUCUACUUAUUCUGGUUGAGUGGAGAAAUGAAGUACCUGGUAUGGUCUUGUAAUCAUGACUAGCUUGAGCAAUGAAAUAAGCACUAAGGUAAAGGAUGUGGAAGGUGUGGUUUCAUAUUUGAUUAGGUGAACUUUAAAGUGGUAUUUGUUUUGACUAGUAGCCAAAAGUCAUGCUAAACGAAAAAUUGCAGAUGUGCAUUUUUCAUCUUGUUUCAAAUUAGUAAAAGAAUGAAGUACUUGAUAUCGUAAUCAUGACUAGCUUCAGCGAUAAAACAUGCAUUACGCAAAAGAACUGACAAACGGAAUGCUGAGGUCGAAAGCAUGAUUUCUUAUUUUAAUGGGAAGGUGUACUUUGAAAUAAUAGUGACUGGAACUUAUGCUUGCAAAGAAGAGAUGGUGAUGGGUGUUUUACUUAUUCUUGUUGAGUGGAGAAAUGAAGUACCUGGUAUGGUCUUGUAAUCAUGACUAGCUUGAGCAAUGAAAUAAGCACUGCGAAAAAUUUCAGAACGUUAUACCGAAGUAUAAAGAUGUGGAAGUGGUAUAUAUUUUGAGUAGUAGCAAGAAGUCAUGCUAAAGAAAAAUAGCACGAGUUUGUUUUCUACUUAUAUCGAUUGAGUGGAGGAGUGGAGUACUUGGUAUUGUAAUCAUGACUAGCUUGAGCGAUAUAACAUGCAUUACAGAAAAGAAUGGAGAAACGUUAUGUUGCAGUUAAAACAUGUGGAGUGUACAGUCUUUGAAGUUUGAAAUGAGUAACUGGAAGUUAUGCUUAGAAAGAAGUCAUAUUAUAGAUGUUCAACUUAUUCUGGAUGAGUGGAGAAAUGAAGUACCUGGUAUGGUCUUGUAAUCAUAACUCUUUUGAGCAAUGAAAUACGCACUGCGAAAAAGUUGAGAACGUUAUACCAAAGUAUAAAGAUGCAGAAGGUGUGGUUUCGUAGUUGGUGAUCUCUGAGGUCGUAUAUGUUUUCACUAGUAGCUUGAAGUUAGGCUAAAGAAAAAUCGGAGGAAUGUGUGUUCUACUUAUUUCGAUUGAGUGGAGGAAUGGAGUAUUUGGUGUUGUAAUCGUGACUAGUUUGAGCGAUCAAACGCGUUACGGAAAAAAACAGACGAAAUGAAAUGCUGAAGUUAAAAAAAUGUUGAAAGUAUGGUUUCUUAUAUGAUGGGAAGGUGAACUUUGAAAUAAUAGUGACUGGAAGUUAUGCUUUCAAAGAAGAGAUGGUGAUGGGUGUUUUACUUGUUCUGGUUAAGUGGAGAAAUGGAGUACCUGGUAUGGUCUUGUAAUCAUGACUCUCUUGAGCAAUGAAAUACGCACUGUGAAAAAGUUUAGAACGUUAUACUAAAGUAUAAAAACGUGGAAGGUGUGGUUUCAUAUUUGAUUAGGUGAACUUUAAAGUGGUAUUUGUUUUGACUAGUAGCCAAAAGUCAUGGUAAACGAAAAAUUGUAGAUGUGCAUUUUUCAUCUUGUUUCAAAUUAGUAAAAGAAUGAAGUACUUGAUAUCGUAAUCAGGACUAGCUUCAGCGAUAAAACAUGCAUUACGCAAAAGAACUGACAAACGAAAUGCUGAGGUCGAAAGCAUGAUUUCUUAUUUUAAUGGGAAGGUGAACUUUGAAAUAAUAGUGACUGGAAGUUAUGCUUGCAAAGAUGAGAUGGUGAAUGGUGUUAUAUUUAUUGUGGUUGAGUGGAGAAAUGAAGUACUUGGUAAUGGUCUUGUAAUCAUGACUAGCUUGAGUAAUUAAGUACGCACUGCGAAGACAUCGGAACGUUAUAGCAAGGUAUAAAGAUUUGAAAGGUGUGGUUUCCUAUUUAAAUAGGUGAACUCGGAAGUGGUAUGUUUCGAAUAGUAGCCAAAGGUAGUGUUAAAAAAAAUUGGAGAUGUGCAUUUUUUACCUUAUUUCGAAUGAGUCAAAGAAUAAAUACUUAGUAUCGUAAUCGUGAUUAGCUUGAGUAAUAAAACACACAUUACGGAAGAAACGUAGAAACAGAAUUCAUUGACGUCUGAAAGGGUUAAAACAACACUGAGAAUAUAACUGGAAUGAAUGCUCUUGUAUUUGGGGUGACGUUCCUAAAGCGGUUUGUGCAACAAGUAACCACCAAACAUUUUAGGGGUUAUUUGUAUGCUUUUGAAAGAAAUGCCGAAGUUAAAACCAGUUUAUGUGUGGUGACAUUCGUGAAAUUGCAUUUGAGUACCAAAAAAAAAAAAAAAAAGACUUGGACAUGCUCAAAAAAGUCCGAAGUCCUUAGUUGUAUUGUAAUGAUGUAUAACUUCAUUGAUAUGAGAAGUGCUAAAAAGAAAUGGAAUGCUGAGUACUAAGCUGUGGAAGGUAUAGUGGUGCAUGUACUGGUGAGUAGCAAGAAGUCCUGCUUACAAGGAAGAGUACGGUUUUGUUAAAUGACCCAUUUCGGUACAAGAAACGAAGAAAGACAAUUUAGAAAGGAUUAUAUAUUGAAAUGGAACAGAUAAUGAUGUCUAUGUUAAGGAGAUACAAUGUACAUUAAGAAAUAAUGUUUAUUUCUCGAAGUCGUAUGUGUGCUAAUAAGUAACCAGUAAGAAGGAAACGGUACUUUUACGAAAAAAUGUUAGUUAUAAAAGCAGUUACUUGAAUAAGUUAUAAAUGAGUUAAGUGACAAAAUGGCAUUGGAAAUUGUCACGUGAUUUUUAUGACAAUGUGAAGUACAUUGCAUAGCUGUAGAAUGAGACUAGCUUAAGAAGAGGUGAAAAAAAAAAAAUGCUGAGGUAAUGUCUGUAUGAGGGUUUUGAACAAAGCAAAAUAUUUUUAUGAAAUGCUGAGGUUGAAGACCGUUUGAAAGGGUAAUUCUUGGUACGGUUCGAGUGAUGACUAGCUUUAGAGAUAAUACCUGCAUAUUAAAAAAUGCCAAGAAAAACCAAAUACAAAAUGCUGCGGUAUAUGUGGAGGUGUGGUUUUAUUCGUAGCCUGAAGUGGUAGGUAUAUCUACUGAUGAACAAGCAGAAAAGGAAAUAAUCUUAACAAAGAAAAGGAGACUGCACAGUACUAUAAUCAUUUAAGUGAUAUUUCAGUAUGAGAAUCAAGCGCUAGGAAAAAAUUUAUUUUAAAUUGUUUUAACAAUGCAGCAUACCUGUAAUGGUCUUCUAAUGAUCACUAUAGCUUAUAAAGAUGGAACGCACAUAAUGAGUUAAAACACCGAAAAGAUAUGGUACGCCUUGAAGUAGUUCUUGCAUUCAUAAGUGAAAAAACAUUUGCGCUGAUAAGUGAAAAAACAUACUAUUUCAACGAACCAAUACUGAAGUAAAAGAAAUUGCUUGUGUGGCACUACACUUGUUUUGGUGACAAUACGGCAUGAAAAGUCUUGGCAAAUAAUAAUUAGAAAUCGUUAUGAUGUGAAGCACUUGUGAAGUCUUUCAAUGACCGCGUUGUAAAAAUAAAACCCACGCAAUCAGAUGUGAUUGUAGUUGUGUUGUAACAAAUCGAAGCACGAGAAGAAAGUCUAGAAAUCUUGAUGUGGAGUGCUUGUAAAGUCUUGCCAUAACAAGCUUGAAGACCGAUAAUGUACUUGAUGAGAAAAGGCAUAGAAAUUUUCUAGGUAAUGUGAUAUCAUGCUUAAUAUGAAAGAUAAGUGGUUUAUGUGCUUAUAACUGAAGAAACACAGAAGUAUGAGUUUAGUUUUGUGUAUCUUUGUGCGUGGUAAUGCAUGCUAACUUAGCCAAGCUGUUUUUUGUUUAUUCACAAAACGCACUCAAAUACGUUAACUAUGGUGUUGUAGAAUGAUGCAACAUUUUAUGUCUUGUUUUCAUACAUACAGAUUGAUGCAGGUGAAAAAAUGUGCUUUUGAGAUCAAGCCUAGUAAAUAAGCAAUAUAAAGCUGUGGUGUUUAAGACAUUGUGUAAUACAUUGUUUCACAGUUAAAAUUGGAAGGGUGGGAAUGGCUAACUAGAAAUAAUUUUAUAAGAUAAUCGGAUAUUGCUGUUUUCUAUGAAGCUUACUUGAAUGUAGCUUAAGAAUCUUAUUGAUAGGAAUUUUAUUUUCAAUGAUGUAAGUUGCUUUGCAAAUAACGGCAAGACAUGAUUAGACCAAAUAGAGGUAUUGAUGCAAUAUGUCGCACACAUCCGAACUGAUGCAGUCAAGACGUGAUUCGGCAAAAUAGAUAUUGUAUUUUGCAACAUCAAGAUAUAGAUGUGACAUGACAAGAAAUGUAGCCAAAAUUUGUAUCAUAUAUUAUAUAAAUUAUGCUGAUGUCUUAAAUGGUUUUGUGGUGCAACAUGUAUUCCGUUUUCACAUACGAUACUAAUGCGAGUGAUAAGCAGUACAGAAACCGAACAAUGCAAAGUCUAAAUACUUGAGAGCAUUGCAUGAUGUGGAUCUUACCUAAACGUUCUGAUUAAGGAAAUUGUGUUCGAAUGUAGUAAUACACGAUAAUGCAGGUGCACCUCUGCAAGACAGGCUAGCUAAAGCCAGUAGCUUGUAUCAGUUGGUUGCAUCGACAGAAAAAUUGCUUUUGGCAAAAUAAUGUCCAUUAUGGAAGAAGGAGUUAUUACGAGACAUAACCUUAGCACGAGUAGGCACUGGUCUGAACAAAAUGAGUUUGAUGCAAGUGAUUCAACUGCAGUGAUAAUUGUAAAGCCUAGCUUGACAAAGCAGAGAAUGUUUGUUUUUUUUUCCCUUGCAAAUGAUGUAUGUGUACUUGUUCAUAUGUUUUCCAUGAUAGGCUUGACUGAAAAAUCAUUCUGAUGUAUUAUUUCCAAUAUUAUUUGUACCACUUUUCAAAUUUGUACCACUUUAAUUAGUGAAAUCAGCGUCUUUAGUGAGAUUUAAAAAUGUAAUUAGAUAUGAGCAGCGUAUACUGAUAAAGUAGGGUAAGUUAAGCAGUGAGAACCUUUUAUCUCAAAAACAUUUAGAUAAGUUGAUGCCAUGAUGGAGAGCAUUAUUAGAAAGUUAUGCUGUAGUUUAUUAAGUCUAAGGUACUGUUAAAAUAUGCAUUAACAAAAUAGUUGUUCUAAACACAGCUAAGUUGAUGCCAUGAUGGAGAGCAUUAUUAGAAAGUUAUGCUGUAGUUUAUUAAGUCUAAGGUACUGUUAAAAUAUGCAUUAACAAAAUAGUUGUUCUAAACACAGCUUAAUUACAGUGUAAAAGAAAACCUAAAUAUUGGUUAUGAUAAAAUUUUCUCAAUGCAUUAAAGAAUGCAACACACAUUAUGAUUGUGGCACUUAAAUCUUUAGGCAUUAAAAGAGUGCAUUUUAGGUGCCAAAAAUAGGCAGGCAAAACAACGUUUUAGGCCUCCAACAUUGUAAAUAUAGGCACAAUAAAUUUUUACAUAAAUGCAAAUAAUUUCUAACGAAGACAUGCGCGGCCUGUACGAUAGGAAAACAAGAAAUGUUAUUGUCUAUGAUGGCACAAAGGCGCCAACAGUUGAACAUAGCCGUGCAAUUUUCCCAUAAAACUGCUGGACUAAUGACGAUCGAUUGGCUUCAACCAUUAAGCACACUCAUAUUCAUGUUCAAUGGCCACUGUACUCGAGCGUCACAUAUAGUGAAACAUGCAUGAAAAAGAAUACUUAAAAGCUGAAAAUACUGAUUAAAAAAACGCUACAAUUUAUGUCUGCCUGGCACAAUGAAAUUAAGACGCAACAAAAACAGAGAAAUAAUAAAUGCAAGAGAGACUACAAUUUAUUAAGAAAUUAACAUGUUCCUGCAUGAGGACUGUUAGGUACAACUCUGGCAAUUUUCUCAUAUACAAUGACAUUAUCGGAAUUUUACCGGCAAAAUGCCCCAACACUGCCAAAUACAAUUGCUACAAUUUAUGUCUGCCUGGCACAAUGAAAUUAAGAUGCAACAAAAACAGAGAAAUAAUAAAUGCAAGAGAGACUACACUUUAUUAAGAAAUUAACAUGUUCCUGCAUGAGGACUGUUAAGUACAACUCUGGCAAUUUUCUCAUAUACAAUGACAUUAUCGGAAUUUUACAGGCAAAAUGCCCCAACACUGCCAAAUACAAUUGCGCCCAUUUGAAGUGCACGUGUUUGAAGAAAUCUGUUUGGAGAGCACGCGGAACGUAGUCUUAAGAAUCACUGUGAAGAUUGUUGAAACAAUAGCAAACUUCCACCAUCUCCAGAUUUUUGGAUUCAAAAUUGUUCCUCUUGUCACUGAGAAUGAUCUUGUACGCUGAGAAGAAACGCUCGAUGGCGGUGAACACCUUAAAAAGUAAAUUACAAACAGAACAUCACAUUUUUCUUUCUUCUUUUGCUCUUCACUCUCCUUUCCCCUGUCGGCUCUCCGCGGUUUCGCAUUUGCCAACCGCUCGCGCAAUGUCAGCGCGGCGGCGGCGUAUGCUGGCCGGCGCGUUCCAUUUCAAUGCUGCUAUACUCGCGGACAACUUUCUGUGGCAAUGAAGGGAAAGCAUGACUAGGUUGAACCCCAUAGAGUUCCGAACAGUCAAUGUUGCCCGGUAUAUAACAUGAAUAACGGUCUCUAACUGCAUUCGAAAGCGAAACUUGCGGCUCAUAUAGGCGCCGAUAUUGAAAACAGGCAUUUAUAGGCAUUUAGGCACAAACGCCAAAAUAGGCAUUUAUAAGCACUAUAAGAACACUAUAAAAGCCCUUCUUAACCUCUAAUUCAUGCUCAUAUAUCAAAGUGGGGCGAUAGGAGCGCAAGGAACAAAAAAGGCAUUUGCAUAUAAUCCGGUCUCUAGUCGUGACUCUCAGUAAGAGUUUCAAAAGAAUAAUGCAUGCAGUUACAUAGCAGCAGUAAAGAGUGCAGAGAUAUUUCUUUAUGCUGUUUAUUCAAUAGUAUCAAGCAUUAAUGUGGUUUUAUAAUAACCUGCAAGUGCAGGUCACGCGUUGCAAAUAUUUUAGAUUGCUACUUUAUGCUGAAAGUGAACACUAACUGUUCUGUUAAUAAAAAAACUUGUGGUCCUCUACUGUUUAAAAAUGACUAUAACAGCAUCUUUAAUGCUUAUGAAUUCUCUGAUUUCGGCAUAUGCCCAUAUAAACGAUAAGAUGGUUUUUAAUUUUUAACCCUUAAGGACAGAAGACGAGCAGAGUGAGUCAAUUGCUCAUAUGUGUGCAGUGAAGCCUACCUUUGUUAGUGUUAAAAAAAUUUGUCAUAAUAACAUUCACUUUGUGGAAUAAAUUUUUUGCAUGGUCUUGCUUUAUAUGAUCUUGAGCUCAAUUCAGCUUUACAGAAAAAAAGAAUAGAGUGCGUUGUGAAUCGUGCAGUAUUCCUAAAUGGCAGUUCUCGUUUCUAUGUAGUGCAUGAUGCUAAAUAUUGUUUACUGAAAAUGAAAACAUAGGGGUCAUGAUAAAACAUGUUGCAGUAAUUAAUACUUUGGAGCAUAGUCCAACUAAAUUUCGAGAAAGAUGUAGAAAUCAUGAUUUGAGAGUUACAUUAUGAACUAAAAUAGUCGGAAAUGUCGCGUCGUAACAUGCAGUUGAUACAAAAUAAUGCAAUGGUGGGCUGUAUAGAACUUAGUUGAAUAGUGUGUUGUGUCAUAAAGGGGAAAAAAAAUGCGAAGAGAUUAACACUGCAACUUGGUUAAAAUGGUGAGAUAACAAAAUAUAUAGAAAUGAUAGAUCACUAGUAGCACAGUGAUCAUUAAGUACCGCAAGGAAACCAUAACAAAAGUCAAGCUUUUUGUGAGCAACUAUGAGUGAAAUGAGGGUUGGUCGAAAUCUAUGUGAUGAAUCUGUGUAAGUAGUACACUUAUCUAAGCCAAUUAAUCGCAGAGGACCGUGAUCAUGAGAAAGAAGCUUGAGAGAACACGCAAAAACUGCACAUGGGAUCACGAACGAUUAUAGGCGACAUCGAGAAAGCAAAGCGUGGAACAUGAUAGAUAAUGCAGAUAACUGGUGGUCUUAUUAUAGCUACAGAAUGAGUGCCAAGAAAAGGGAAGCAUAGUUAAGUAGGGCAGAGAACUAUUGUACGUAGGUUGUGUGAUGAAAUGGGGAAAUUUGCUGGCAUAAGAUAGGGUUAGCUGGUGUAAGAUCACUGAGAGAGGCCUUCAUACUGAACUGGACAAAAUAGGCUGAUGAUGUACUAGAAUCUGGUACAAAAAAUAAAAACGAGGCUACGUUACAAGGAUGCAGCAAUGACUAAAUGUUUAAAGUGUGUUAUGAAGGGUUUAGGCAAAGCACUGUAGCUCAUAAUACGCAUUUAGCAAUUUAAUCUGUAGUUCACAGUUAUGCACCAUGUAUGAAAACAAGAACUCUGAAUUAGUUUAUCUUGAUCAGACAAAAAUAGGCUGUUAAGUAAAAUAUGUUUCAUUUGAUAUGCGGGAUUAAUUGAGGGUCAUAUGCAUACAGUUAAUUAGUCUCGCAUUUGGAUAUAAUAAAGUAUGUUGAGCCAAGGGUUCAGUUUCAGUGAUAUAACCUAAAAACGCGGCACUCAGCCUUAAUCUGGAAAACUGCAGUACAGUUUGUACGUUUAAAUACCGUAGGUGCAGUCAAGGAGAAUGUGAAAUAUGCUAGUUGUGAACACUGUUUUAGUAGUCAAAUACUGAUAAUCGUUCUGGUGAAUGAUACUUAGUUUACAGCUACCAGAAAUGAAAAAUAGUUGCUAUUGAAGUUAUGACGUGGGCCAUAUGCAGUUGUGUGUGAAUAAGCAACAGUAGCGACUUGCCUAUUGUCUGUUCUUUAGGGCAUUAUUAAAUCCUUCCCAGAAGAGUUUUUGGCCCAUUUCUGAUCAAUGUACAGCAGGCUAAAGUUCAAUGAUUUGUAGUAGCGUAAAUUAAGGCAAAGCUUUCUGUAUAUUUAAAAUACUGCAUAACUUAAUGUGUAAAUGCUCGAUCUUUCCUACUGUGAUACAAAAUUUCUCCAGGGUAGGCUCACCUGAUGUUAGCAGAUUUUGAGCUUGUCUAGCAGCAAGUACAGUACUUGCACUACUAUGUGAUGCAUGCGACAUUUGCCAGGUUUUGUUACACGUCAUUUAAAUAAUGCAAAAAUCAGCUUUUCAGUAAGUGUGCACUUCGAGAAUGUUUUAAAGUGUACUGCUAAGGUAAAUUUUUCAGGGUAUGAAUUUCUUUGCAUAUUGUGAAAGAUGUUAGGGUACACGUUUCCUGGAAGUGACGAGCAGACAUUGGAAGAUUGCUGUGCAUCAAAUCAGAUGUCAGCGUAAGAAGAUCUGAAGGAAGUUCAACUAUGCCGUUUGCGAUGAGAAAUAAAUUGGUGUGGAAUAGGGGCAGGUGCGAGGGGAGAAGGGAGCCUGCCAUUCAGAA